UACAGAGGGUGCGAGCGUUAAUCGGAAUUACUGGGCGUAAAGCGUGCGUAGACGGUUAUUUAAGUCGGGUGUGAAAGCCCCGGGCUCAACCUGGGAAUUGCAUUCGAGACUGAAUAGCUAGGGUACGGUAGAGGGAAGCGGAAUUUCCGGUGUAGCGGUGAAAUGCGUAGAUAUCGGAAGGAACAUCAGUGGCGAAAGCGGCUUCCUGGACCGGUAUUGACGCUGAGGCGCGAAAGCCAGGGGAGCAAAGCGG
rnacentral:rRNA from 1 species